GCAUGCCUAAGACAUGCAAGUCGAACGCUGAAGCUCUAGCUUGCUAGAGUGGAUGAGUGGCGAACGGGUGAGUAACAGGUAGGUAACCUACCCUAAAGACGGGGAUAACAUCUGGAAACGGAUGCUAAUACCGGAUAGUAUAACAUCUCGCAUGGGAAGUUAUUUAAAGGUGCGUAUGCACCACUUUAGGAGGGACCUGCUCCGUAUUAGCUAGUUGGUGAGGUAAUGGCUCACCAAGGCAACGAUGCGUAGCCGAGCUGAGAGGCUGAUC
rnacentral:rRNA from 1 species